CACCGAUACAGUGCCUUGACACUUUUCGCGGCUUCUUGUUCUUGAUGGCAGAAAGCGGGAAAAUUCCUCAGAAUUUCUGCAGAGGGAGUUGUUGGAGAAAUGAAGAAACCGCCAUUGCAGGUGCAGAACGUGAACCGCUUCGAUAAGAACGUCGUCGGAGGUAAAGAAGCUCUUGCGAUGGCAUUUCUCGGUGAUCCGGAUUUCAGAGGGAAGCAGCUUAGAGGCCAAUUAAGCUUUGUUCUAUCAGGAAGGGAUGUUUUUGUUUGAUGCCUAGGAGAAGAGGAAAAUCUACUUUUAUCAGAUUCGUGCAGAUUCACUGAGCAACGAAUCUGGAAUGGCUCCAACUCAUGCUCUGUUUCCUCCCUCUUGUUCUUGUGUUUACACCUUCACAGCUUUGAGGUGUAACUUUGUGUCUGAGAGUCAUUGAAGCAGCCUCCCAAUUUCCCGGCAGCACAAUGCAAACAUGCCAUUGUUGCCUGUAACUGUAAGCACCCAAAUCUGAGUGGCUCGCUGUUUGGUUGUGGAGCUCGCGAGCAUUACCUCCUUGCCAAAGGCGCAGUUCUUUGCAAAUUUUGACUACCAGGUUGUCAUCGUGCACACCCUUCUGACAAGCUUGAGUUUCAGUCGAGUAGCUUAUCAGAGAACAUAUUGUUACGAUUUGGUUGUUAGCUUAUGUCGAUUCCCUAUACAUUCAUAUAUCUGUUGAUAUGUUCUGUUCCUAUAUUUCAGCAAGUUCUAUCUGUUUGUACAGCUAUUUAGGGAACACAUCCUUCCCGAUAUUUGAAUAAGAAAUUCCAUUCUUUCAUUUUCACUUCUAUAGUUUCACAUGGUAUCAGAGCACAUCUUCUGAUUCCUCUUUCCCCUUUUCGCUUUCCUUCAUGUCGAGUCAAUCAGAUGCUGAGGAUACCCAUUUCUACUGAGCUUGAUAUGCUCUCUUUCGCAGCUCAAACAAUAUGGCUGAUGAAGGAGCUGGCAUGGUGACGGAGAGGCAAGCGGUUCUGAUGAGUGCAUAUCAGAUUCAGACGGUAACCCUCUUGAAUCAGCAAAUAUUUCUAGAGUCUUGCAGAUGAAAUGACUCGUUCCCUGAACGUAGCGAGUAUAAAAAAGGGAUUAGAUGAAAAAAUGAUGUUACUGGGAAGGAAAUACUGUCGGAGGAACAUGGCCUAGUAUAACAGGUUUGGUAGCAGAUAUUCACAUUGUUGAAAACUGAGGUGAUACAUGUCUUCAUGUUUGUCGUGAAGCUUAAUCCCCAAAAAGCUUCAGGACAAGAAUGACAUACCCGAAGCACUGAGGGAAUCGAGCAAAAGCUCAGGUGUACAAAAGCUCAAGAUGUCCCCACAUCUUUGGGAUUCAUAGCUUGGUAAUUUGUACCUUUGGAUUCUCAUAUCCUGUCUCACUGAAACCAUGAAUGGCCAUAGUACUCGCAGGUGGCAAGGACUGUAAGAUGGUUGGGAACCCGCAAGCAGAGGCGAGCUAAUGAGCCGGUUUAGUUCUUGACAGUCAGAGAAGAACCCGUUGAAACACAACCAAGAACCAGAACAGAGCGGGAUCAGAUGGAGAAGCUGAAUCAGAGAUGAGAAACAACCCACCAGUCACUCUUUCUGAUUUUUGCACUGUUGCCCACAGUAUCUUAUUACACUUUAGAUCUUAUGGAUUAGAUCAACUGCAAAAAAGUGUUUCCUUUUUUUUUUCCAUUAAAAACUGAAUCUAGACUACAUAAUAAUAUAAAACUAAAAACAGCUAAAACCUUCUUUUUUUUCCCUUGCUUUCCAACAUUGAAAAUGGACAAGCAUCAUCUACAAGGGGCUUCUUUUUACACACACAAAAAAAGGUAUAUACAUUUUCCACAUCCACUAACAAACUCCCAAAA